rnacentral:tRNA from 1 species
GGAAAUGUGGCUUAGUGGUAAAGUGCUUACCUAGCAUGCACGAAGCCCUAGGUUCGAUUCCUCAGUACCA